rnacentral:rRNA from 1 species
AACGAACGCUAGCGGGAUGCCUCAAACAUGCAAGUCGCACGCGAAUUGGUAGCAAUACCAUAGUAGAGUGGCGCACGGGUGAGUAACACGUAACUAACGUACCCUUUCGCUGGGGAUAACUCCGGGAAACCGGAGCUAAUACCGAAUGAUCUGACUAGGACUUUGGUCCAUGUCGGUAAAGGCGUAAGCCGCGAAAGGAUCGGGUUGCGGUCUAUUAGCUAGUUGGUGAGGUAAUGGCUCACCAAGGCUACGAUAGAUAGCUGGUCUGAGAGGAUGAUCAGCCACACUGGAACUGGAACACGGUCCAGACUCCCACGGGAGGCAGCAGUUGGGAAUAUUGGACAAUGGGCGCAAGCCUGAUCCAGCAAUCCCGCGUGUGGGACGAAGGCC